GCCGGCCCCACGCCCUCCCUGGGCGAGCAGGUAAGCCGGCCCCACACCCUCCCUGGGCGAGCAGGUAAGCCGGCCCCAUGCCCUCCCUGUGGGACUCUUUUUAGCUGGACCACCCUCAGAUGAACCAGAACGAAAAGUUCCAAUUAGGGCUGCAUUCCUCACCUGUGGGAUUCUCUUGGUCCUUACCCAGACUUCAAGGAGCACCCCAGCAGCCCGGUGGCAGGAAGCUGGCGUGCACGUGGGCUCGGAGGGUCCCUGCUGCGACGCUUGCUUCCUGCCUGCAGACUUGAUCUCUGUGAAGCCUGUGCUCGGCUGCUUUUGCAGGGGCUUGGCUUCCUGGGCCGCCAGAGACAAAAGAGGGACCACGUUGUCCGAGAGGGCACCUGGCGUUUCUCUUCCUGCUGGUUUGGGGUAGGCAGCCAGAGAGGUCAGAGCAUAUGGGAUGGGAGAGAACCGAACAGGAGUUAGGUUCAUUGCCAAAGAAUGCCUGGGCUGGGGUGAGGCCUCCGCCCGCUGGCAGGAGGGGCAGCUCUGCCCACAGGAGCUCUUUCUGGGCAGUAGCUAAGGACUACACGAAUGUUCGUAAUUGGACAAGAUGGGAAUGAAUGAGGUAAUCAUUUAAUGUUUGUUAAACAGGUUCUGUUUUAAAGACUUGCAAAUUAAAUGGAUUUGAGGGAGAAGCAGGAUCUGUAAAAAGCUACGGAGUUAAAAGUGGAAUGAAAAUGAGACAGGUAUAGAACCGAAAUGCGAGUGCAGAAGCCCGUUUCCAUGCAGUGGCAGAGAUUCCCAUGGUGCACCUUUGAAGCGGAAAGUUGACAGAAACCGAGUGAGCCACUGAGGACGGAGGGGCUGCGGGAUCGCUGGGCCGCAGGUCAGGGUCUCGUGGAAGCCGGGUGGAUGCCACGUGGCCUGUGUUUUCAAAAUUAUCCUAGAACAUUGAAACAUCAUGGACUUCUAACUUCUUUCUACAAUUAAAAAGAAAUGUUUAUACUUAAA